GAUGAACGCUGGCGGCGUGCUUAACACAUGCCAGUCGAACGAAGCAUUUAGGACAGAUUACUUCGGUUUGAAGUUCUUUAUGACUGAGUGGCGGACGGGUGAGUAACGCGUGGGUAACCUGCCUUGUACUGGGGGAUAGCAGCUGGAAACGGCUGGUAAUACCGCAUAAGCGCACAAUGUUGCAUGACAUGGUGUGAAAAACUCCGGUGGUAUAAGAUGGACCCGCGUCUGAUUAGCUAGUUGGUGAGAUAACAGCCCACCAAGGCGACGAUCAGUAGCCGACCUGAGAGGGUGACCGGCCACAUUGGGACUGAGACACGGCCCAGACUCCUACGGGAGGCAGCAGUGGGGAAUAUUGCACAAUGGAGGAAACUCUGAUGCAGCGACGCCGCGUGAGUGAAGAAGUAAUUCGUUAUGUAAAGCUCUAUCAGCAGGGAAGAUAGUGACGGUACCUGACUAAGAAGCUCCGGCUAAAUACGUG
rnacentral:rRNA from 1 species